rnacentral:rRNA from 1 species
UACAGAGGGGGCAAGCGUUGUUCGGAAUUACUGGGCGUAAAGGGCUCGUAGGUGGCCAACUAAGUCGGACGUGAAAUCCCUCGGCUUAACCGGGGAACUGCUUCCGAUACUGGUUGGCUUGAGUUUGGGAGAGGGAUGCGGAAUUCCAGGUGUAGCGGUGAAAUGCGUAGAUAUCUGGUGGAACACCGGUGGCGAAGGCGGCAUCCUGGACCAACACUGACGCUGAGGAGCGAAAGCCAGGGGAGCAAACGGG